rnacentral:rRNA from 1 species
UACGUAGGCAGCAAGCGUUGUUCGGAGUUACUGGGCGUAAAGGGUGCGUAGGCGGUCCUAUAAGUAUGGUGUGAAAUCUCCCGGCUUAACUGGGAGGGUGCGCUAUAGACUGUGGGACUAGAGUGUGGGAGAGGAAAGUGGAAUUCCUGGUGUAGCGGUGAAAUGCUUAGAUAUGACACAGAACACCGAUUGCGAAGGCAGCUCACAAAACUGUAACUGACGCUGAGGCACGAAAGCGUGGGUAUCAAACAGG